rnacentral:rRNA from 1 species
GAUGAACGCUGGCGGCGUACCUAAUACAUGCAAGUCGAGCGAACAGACGAGGAGCUUGCUCCUUUGACGUUAGCGGCGGACGGGUGAGUAACACGUAGGUAACCUACCUAUAAGACUGGGAUAACUUCGGGAAACCGGAGCUAAUACCGGAUAAUAUUUCGAACCGCAUGGUUCGAUAGUGAAAGAUGGCUUUGCUAUCACUUAUAGAUGGACCUGCGCCGUAUUAGCUAGUUGGUAAGGUAACGGCUUACCAAGGCAACGAUACGUAGCCGACCUGAGAGGGUGAUCGGCCACACUGGAACUGAGACACGGUCCAGACUCCUACGGGAGGCAGCAGUAGGGAAUCUUCCGCAAUGGGCGAAAGCCUGACGGAGCAACGCCGCGUGAGUGAUGAAGGUCUUCGGAUCGUAAAACUCUGUUAUUAGGGAAGAACAAACGUGUAAGUAACUGUGCACGUCUUGACGGUACCUAAUCAGAAAGCCACGGCUAACUACGUG